CCCUUAGAUGUUCUGGGCUGCACGCGCGCUACACUGAAGCGUUCAACGAGUAUUCACCUUGCCCGGGAGGGUUGGGUAAUCUUUUGAAAACGCUUCGUGAUGGGGAUAGAUUAUUGCAAUUAUUAAUCUUCAACGAGGAAUUCCUAGUAAGCGCAAGUCAUCAACUUGCAUUGAUUACGUCCCUGCCCUUUGUACACACCGCCCGUCGCUCCUACCGAUUGAAUGUUCCAGUGAGCACUCUGGAGUAACGGUAUCGACUAGCAAUAGUUCUAUACCAAUUGCGAAACUGUGCAAACCUUAACAUUUAGAGGAAGGAGAAGUCGUAACA
rnacentral:rRNA from 1 species